AUUGAACGCUGGCGGAAUGCUUUACACAUGCAAGUCGAACGGCAGCACGGGUGCUUGCACCUGGUGGCGAGGGGCGAACGGGUGAGUAACAUAUCGGAACGUACCCAGUAAUGGGGGAUAACUAGUCGAAAGAUUAGCUAAUACCGCAUACGCCCUGAGGGGGGUAAAGCGGGGGAUCGUAAGACCUCGCGUUAUUGGAGCGGCCGAUAUCUGAUUAGCUAGUUGAUGGGGUAAAGGCCCACCAAGGCGACGAUCAGUAGCUGGUCUGAGAGGACGACCAGCCACACUGGGAAACCUGAGACACGGUCCCAGACUCCUACGGGAGGCAGCAGUGGGGAAUUUUGGACAAUGGGCGCAAGCCUGAUCCAGCCAUUCCGCGUGAGUGAAGAAGGCCUC
rnacentral:rRNA from 1 species